GGAGUCCCUCCUCUAAAAGCACUCUGUGUGGGGAACAUGAGAGCCAGACCAAAGCUCAGAGGAACCCACCUGGACCUCCACCCAGCUCUGUGUCCUUACAGAAUGAAACGUCUGGAGGUUUCCUCAUUGAUUUUAAAGUCUCUGCUGCAGAGAGAGGUCAGAGGUCACAGUCUGCAGGAUCCAGCUGUCCGUCUGUGAGGAGUGAUGAGUCCAUACAUCAACCUCCAUACUUCAGUGCUGAACCUGGACCAACGAGGAUCAAUAAGAGGCCAGAAUCUCCUGGACCUGAACCCAGCUGUGUUUCCUUAAAGAGCAACGAGUCGAAGGAUGUUGAUAUAAACUUUAAAGGCUGGUCUUCUGCUGCUGAGAGAGCUUCUGCACAGUGUGGAGAAAGAUCCAGAAGCAGAGCUGGACUGCAGACAGCCAGUCAGAGCAGCUGUGUACAAAAUGUUGGUCUGCAGGAGGUUUUAGAUGAACAUAAGAUCAG